rnacentral:rRNA from 1 species
CACGUAGGCACAAAGCGUUGUCCGGAUUUAUUGGGCGUAAAGAGCUCGUAGGCGGUUCGGUAAGUCGGGUGUGAAAACUUUGGGCUCAACCCAAAGCCUGCACCCGAUACUGCUGUGACUUGAGUCCGGUAGGGGAGUGGGGAAUUCCUGGUGUAGCGGUGGAAUGCGCAGAUAUCAGGAGGAACACCGGUGGCGAAGGCGCCACUCUGGGCCGGUACUGACGCUGAGGAGCGAAAGCGUGGGGAGCGAACAGG